rnacentral:rRNA from 1 species
UACGGGGGGAGCAAGCGUUGUUCGGAUUUACUGGGCGUAAAGCGCGCGUAGGCGGCUUUGUAAGUUAGAGGUGAAAGCCCGGAGCUCAACUCCGGAAUUGCCUUUAAGACUGCAUCGCUAGAAUCAUGGAGAGGUUAGUGGAAUUCCGAGUGUAGAGGUGAAAUUCGUAGAUAUUCGGAAGAACACCAGUGGCGAAGGCGACUAACUGGACAUGUAUUGACGCUGAGGUGCGAAAGCGUGGGGAGCAAACAGG